rnacentral:rRNA from 1 species
GCGCACCAGGCGAGAAUUUUUCUCAAUGGGGGCAACCCUGAAGGAGCGACGCCGCGUGGAGGAUGAAGGCUUUCGGGUUGUAAACUCCUGUCAUUUGGGAACAAGUUGGACGCAGUAACUACGCGUCCAUUGAUAGUACCAGAAGAGGAAGGGACGGCUAACUCUGUGCCAGCAGCCGCGGUAAUACAGAGGUCCCAAGCGUUGUUCGGAUUCAUUGGGCGUAAAGGGUGCGUAGGUGGCGCCGUAAGUGGGGUGUGAAAUUUCGGAGCUUAACUCCGAAACUGCAUUCCAUACUGCGGUGCUUGAGGGCUGGAGAGGAGACUGGAAUUCAUGGUGUAGCAGUGAAAUGCGUAGAGAUCAUGAGGAAGACCAGUGGCGAAGGCGGGUCUCUGGACAGUUCCUGACACUGAGGCACGAAGGCCAGGGGAG